rnacentral:rRNA from 1 species
UACGGAAGGUCCGGGCGUUAUCCGGAUUUAUUGGGUUUAAAGGGAGCGUAGGCCGGAGAUUAAGCGUGUUGUGAAAUGUAGACGCUCAACGUCUGCACUGCAGCGCGAACUGUUUUCCUUGAGUACGCACAAAGUGGGCGGAAUUCGUGGUGUAGCGGUGAAAUGCUUAGAUAUCACGAAGAACUCCGAUUGCGAAGGCAGCUCACUGGAGCGCAACUGACGCUGAAGUUCGAAAGUGCGGGUAUCGAACAGG